UGCUGCACCAAGACUCUACUGCUCUCUUCACAUCAGUUCUCAGAGAAGAGUCCACCCCAUCCUCCUCCCUGAGGAUCGCCUGGCUUUGCCCACUCCCAAAUAUGACCUGGCCCCUUGUGACCAGCAAAUUCAUCACAUUUGUGAUCCAAGUAAACUUGGAAGCCUGGUCGCCUCCAGAGAAGAGAGUCAAGUGCGUUCUGUCACGUUGCCACCUGGUCCUUCAGUGAGGCAGUGAAAAUCGUCAUAGGUUCAGAACGUUGGCCAGAAGCAAGUAAAGUGCCAGCAGGCUCUGAGCAACUUCCCACCCUUCUGCAGCUCUGACAGUGCUCCUCAACCUGACCUGCAGCACCUUUGCUCUUUCAGUACUGGGCUUUUCCACCCAAUUCUGCGGCUGCAUCUGAAUCCCAGCCUCUGGUGCAUCUAACUGUUCCGGUCCAUCAGCCACUCCAGAGUGAAGUCAUGUCAGAAUGAGUUGCGGGUUUCAUGGUGUGGUCAUGUACCCAGUUCGCGUGGGGAUCAAACUGAGCCCAUCAAGCACAUUCCCUUUGUGAUUUAGUCAGAAGCUGAAUUCAAGUCAGAGGUUAAAGUGUAUUAAUUCCCUGAGCUAGACGGGCAUCUUGGUUAUCCUCAGUCUUAUAGCUACAUCUAUGUUGCAAAAGCAUGAUGCCAGGACUUAAACGAGUGGGUCCCAAAUUCCCUCUUUGUCUCUCUUCCUCCUGUGUAAUUAACUGAGAUCCACCUUAAUAGGAUAAAACUAAAUAUUGAAUAGCAUCCAAACGCACAGUGGCUGGCAGGAAAACAACAGCUAGACAUAGAAAGGGAGAAAGGCAGCUAAAUGGACAAAAGACCCAUUUAAGAGUGUUUAUUAGAGGUUCCUAAGCUAAUAACAUCAUUAUCACAAUGUCAACAUGGCUGUGAUGAGCCUGGUGUGUGCCAGGAGGGGCGAUCCUCUUAUGUGUUUUGACUAAUCAGCUGGGAUUUACAUGAUACACAAUAAAUCUUAUUGAU